CCCUUAGAUGUUCUGGGCCGCACACGCGCUACACUGAAGGAGGCAGCGUGUACUCCUGGAUCGAAAGAUUUGGGUAACCCGCGAAUCUCCUUCGUGCUAGGGAUUGAGGUUUGCAAUUAUCCUUCAUGAACGAGGAAUUCCCAGUAAGUGCAAGUCAUAAGCUUGCGCUGACUACGUCCCUGCCCUUUGUACACACCGCCCGUCGCUACUACAGAUUGAAUGAUUUAGUGAGGACUUCGGACUGGGACCGAUGCGGCUUUCGGGCUGCGUCGGUAUUCUGGAAAGAUGUCCAAACUGUAUCAUUUAGAGGAAGUAAAAGUCGUAACA
rnacentral:rRNA from 1 species